rnacentral:misc_RNA from 1 species
UUGUUUCAGGCACUCCAGGUAUCCCUUCAGGAGAUGUAAAAUGGUCCACAUCAUGGCCCACUCUUCCAUGUCCACCAAAUUCAAAUGCAUCACUAUCCAAUGCAACUCUAUACUUCCCAGGCAAGUCGCACCCAACCUUGUACCCAUCAUAUGUAUUUUCUGCAUGAAAAUUGAACACAAAAACCAGAUCCCCAAGCUCAAAGACAAUAACCUUAUCUUCAUCAUUUGUGCUGCUCACAAUCUGCUUUGUUGAUGCUAGAAAUGAAUAUUUUUCAUCAAGCAAGUUCAUAGCUUUGUCAAAUGCAUUCAUGAACUUGUAUCUCAAGUGUUCGGUGUCAACUAGGUUCCACUGGCGUCUGCACUUGUCAUAACUCCACCCAUUGCCUUCUCUUGGGAAGUCAAUCCACUCAGGAUGGCCAAACUCAUUUCCCAUAAAAUUAAGGUAGCCCUCACCCCCUAACGCCAUAGUUAAAAGGUGUAUCAUCUUAUGAAGCGCUAUCCCUCGCUCAAUCAUAGGUGAGGGAUCUGUCAAGCAAGACAUUCCAGAAUACAUUUCUUUAUCCAUUAGUAAAAAGGCAAUUGUCUUGUCACCUACAAUGGCUUGAUCAUGACUCUCGGCAUAAGCAACAUAUUUCUCAGUGUGUCUUCUAUUAGUCAAGCUCCAUGAAAUUUCCUUCACUGACCACUCUUCAUCACUCUUGUUUUUCAAGUAAUCAAUCCAUUUAUCAGGGAUGGCCAUUGCUAGGCGAUAGUCAAAACCAAUUCCACCCUCAGAGACAGACCGGCCAAGCCCGGGCAUGCCAGAAACAUCUUCAGCAAUCACAGUAGCAUCUGGGAAGAUGUUGUAAAUCAGAGAAUUGGCCAGCAUCAGAUAAACAACAGCAUCAACAUCAGUUGCCUCACUGAAAUAAUCAUUAUAAUCCCCUGUAAAUACCAUGUUGAUCCCAUGGUGAUGGUAUAACAUUGAAGUUACUCCAUCAAAUCGGAAUCCAUCAAAUUUGUACUCCUCAAGCCACCAUCUUAAGUUGGACAGAAGGAAGCGAAGAACUUCCCAAUUAGCAUAAUUAAAUAGCCUGCUAUCCCAUAACUUAUGGUAGCCUCGAUCUCCAGUGUGAAAAUAGGAAUCUUGAGAACUUUGGCCAACAUCAAAGCCAUUAAGGCCAUCAGU